rnacentral:rRNA from 1 species
AUUGAACGCUGGCGGCAUGCCUAACACAUGCAAGUCGAACGGUAACGCAGAGAGCUUGCUCUUUGGCGAUGAGUGGCGGACGGGUGAGUAAUGCUUAGGAAUCUGCCCAGUAGUGGGGGACAACUCGGGGAAACUCGAGCUAAUACCGCAUACGCCCUACGGGGGAAAGCGGGGGAUCUUCGGACCUCGCGCUAUUGGAUGAGCCUAAGUCGGAUUAGCUUGUUGGUGAGGUAACGGCUCACCAAGGCGACGAUCCGUAGCUGGUCUGAGAGGACGAUCAGCCACACUGGGACUGAGACACGGCCCAGACUCCUACGGGAGGCAGCAGUGGGGAAUAUUGGACAAUGGGGGCAACCCUGAUCCAGCAAUGCCGCGUGUGUGAAGAAGGCCUGCGGGUUGUAAAGCACUUUCAGUAGAGAAGAAAAGCUUACGGUUAAUACCCGUGAGUCUUGACGUAACCUACAGAAGAAGCACCGGCUAACUCCGUG